rnacentral:rRNA from 1 species
UACGUAGGUGGCAAGCGUUGUCCGGAUUUACUGGGCGUAAAGCGCGCGCAGGCGGUUCGGUACGUCCGGCGUGAAAGCUCCCGGCUCAACUGGGAGAGGGCGUUGGAUACGGCCGGACUGGAGGGCGGUAGAGGUCGGUGGAAUUCCCGGUGUAGUGGUGAAAUGCGUAGAGAUCGGGAGGAACACCUGUGGCGAAGGCGGCCGACUGGGCCGUCCCUGACGCUGAGGCGCGAAAGCAUGGGGAGCGAACAGG